UUGAAAUACCCGAUCCCGUAGGAUCAUCGAAGUUAAGCAACAUAGAAUCUGGUCAGUAACUAGAUGGGAGACCGCUUCGAAAUACUAGGUGCUGUAAGC